AACAUGAUGUUAUGAAAGCUGUUGAAGCCACGUACAUCCUCACUCGCACCUACUGCCUUGCUGCAAGUAUAACCUAUAAUAUAGCUGUGCCUCCCAAUAUUCAAGUCUGACGCUGCCAACCAGAAGCAUGAGACUCGAAGUCGUAUCAUUCCUGCUGCUCACAUUUGCAUCACUGGCUGCAGCACACGGCCGGUGUCCUCUGGGAUUCCUUCGUCACGGGGACUCCUGCUACUGGAUCUCAACCACAGUGGCGUCGUUCGCUGAGGCGAAGACAUACUGUCAGUAUAUGCAGAGUCACCUGGCGAGGAUAACCAGCAAAGUUGAGGAUGACUUUCUGAGGGGCCAUGUCAGACGUCGUGGCAAGGGUACUGAUUACUGGCUUGGUGCUACUGACAUGAACGUUGAAGGGAAGUGGCUGUGGGAGGGGAACAAGGCCAUGACGUACACCAACUGGGAUCGUAACAACCCUAAUAAUGACAAAGGAGUUGAAAACUGUCUGGGACUGAGAAAGGAGUUUAAUUACAAGUGGAAUGAUUAUCAGUGUCAUCACCGCUUAAACUUUAUCUGUGAGAAAAACCUUUAAAAUCAGAAUCAGUCUUUACAAAUAUCAGUAAAAUGUUGGGCAACACCUUCCUUUUCUGAAGAUAAAACAUAACCACAGUCUUUGAAUAAGGUAUCAUAAUGGUAUUAAAUAUUAAAUUCGAAUAACAGAUUCCUUGUGACAAUUGGAUAGGGAAAACACUGUGCAAAUAACAGCAACAAGAUCAUUUCAGCAUGUAGGUGAGGUGUGAGGUGUGAUGUGCUCAUGCAGCAUGUAGGUGAGGUGUGGUGUGCUCAUGCAGCAUGUAGGCAAGGUGUGGUGUGCUCAUGCAGCAUGUAGGUGAGGUGUGAUGUGCUCAUGCAGCAUGUAGGUGAGGUGUGGUGUGCUCAUGCAGCAUGUAGGUGAGGUGUGGUGUGCUAAUGCAGCAUGUAGGUGAGGUGUGGUGUGCUCAUGCAGCAUGUAGGCAAGGUGUGGUGUGCUCAUGCAGCAUGUAGGUGAGGUGUGAUGUGCUCAUGCAGCAUGUAGGUGAGGUGUGGUGUGCUCAUGCAGCAUGUAGGUGAGGUGUGGUGUGCUCAUGCAGCAUGUAGGCAAGGUGUGGUGUGCUCAUGCAGCAUGUAGGUGAGGUGUGAUGUGCUCAUGCAGCAUGUAGGUGAGGUGUGGUGUGCUCAUGCAGCAUGUAGGCAAGGUGUGGUGUGCUCAUGCAGCAUGUAGGUGAGGUGUGAUGUGCUCAUGCAGCAUGUAGGUGAGGUGUGGUGUGCUAAUGCAGCAUGUAGGUGAGGUGUGAUGUGCUCAUGCAGCAUGUAGGUGAGGUGUGGUGUGCUCAUGCAGCAUGUAGGUGAGGUGUGGUGUGCUCAUGCAGCAUGUAGGUGAGGUGUGGUGUGCUAAUGCAGCAUGUAGGUGAGGUGUGGUGUGCUCAUGCAGCAUGUAGGCAAGGUGUGGUGUGCUCAUGCAGCAUGUAGGUGAGGUGUGAUGUGCUCAUGCAGCAUGUAGGUGAGGUGUGGUGUGCUCAUGCAGCAUGUAGGUGAGGUGUGGUGUGCAAAUGCAGCAUGUAGGUGAGGUGUGGUGUGCUCAUGCAGCAUGUAGGCAAGGUGUGGUGUGCUCAUGCAGCAUGUAGGUGAGGUGUGAUGUGCUCAUGCAGCAUGUAGGUGAGGUGUGGUGUGCUCAUGCAGCAUGUAGGUGAGGUGUGGUGUGCUAAUGCAGCAUGUAGGUGAGGUGUGGUGUGCUCAUGCAGCAUGUAGGCAAGGUGUGGUGUGCUCAUGCAGCAUGUAGGUGAGGUGUGAUGUGCUCAUGCAGCAUGUAGGUGAGGUGUGGUGUGCUCAUGCAGCAUGUAGGCAAGGUGUGGUGUGCUCAUGCAGCAUGUAGGUGAGGUGUGAUGUGCUCAUGCAGCAUGUAGGCAAGGUGUGGUGUGCUCAUGCAGCAUGUAGGCAAGGUGUGAUGUGCUCAUGCAGUAUGUAGGUGUUAUCCCAAUCUGGAAACAUUUAUCAAACUGUACACAUACAUUUCUUUCAGUUUUUCAAAGAAUGUAAGGUGUUGCUAAACAUUUUUCUUCUGAGUAUUGUUAAACUGCAUAUGUACUUGCCUUCUAAAUAAGAAAUAGACGGCAUAUACAAGA
rnacentral:misc_RNA from 1 species